UUACGGCCACAUCACGUUGAAACAUCGGUUCUCGUACGAUCUCCGAAGUUAAGCAACGUCGCCCCUGGUUAGUACCUACAUGGGUGACCGCUUGGGAAUACCAGGUGCAGCAAG